rnacentral:rRNA from 1 species
GAUGAACGCUGGCGGCGUGCUUAACACAUGCAAGUCGAACGGUGAAGCAGGAGCUUGCUCCUGCGGAUCAGUGGCGAACGGGUGAGUAACACGUGAGCAAUCUGCCCUGGACUCUGGGAUAAGCGUUGGAAACGACGUCUAAUACCGGAUACGAGACGCGAAGGCAUCUUCAGCGUCUGGAAAGAACUUCGGUCCAGGAUGAGCUCGCGGCCUAUCAGGUAGUUGGUGAGGUGAUGGCUCACCAAGCCUACGACGGGUAGCCGGCCUGAGAGGGUGACCGGCCACACUGGGACUGAGACACGGCCCAGACUCCUACGGGAGGCAGCAGUGGGGAAUAUUGCACAAUGGGCGCAAGCCUGAUGCAGCAACGCCGCGUGAGGGACGACGGCCUUCGGGUUGUAAACCUCUUUUAGCAGGGAAGAAGCGAAAGCGACGGUACCUGCAGAAAAAGCACCGGCUAACUACGUGCCAGCCGCCGCCGUAAGAC